rnacentral:lncRNA from 1 species
UCCACUACCAUAGACGUCCCUCCUCCAGCUCCCACAGAGUAGGAGUGUAUCUGGACUGGUCAGCCGGCACUCUGUCCUUCUAUAGAGCCUCCUCUGACACACUGACCCACCUGAUCACAUUCACCUCCACAUUCACUGAGCCCCUCUAUCCAGGGUUUGGGGUUGAUUAUGAAUCCUCAGUGUCCCUGAAAUAAUAACUGGACACACACACACACACACACACACACACACACACACACACACACACACACACACACACACACACACACACACACACACACACACACACUGGACACAGACACACACACACACACAAACUGGACACACGCACACACUGGACACAGACACACACACACACUGGACACAGACACACACACACACUGGACACACACACACACACACACAGGACACACACACACACACCAACACACUGGACACACACACACACACUGGACACACACACACACUGAACAUACACACAGGACACACACACACACACUGGAUAUACACACACUCAACACACACACACACACACUGGAAACAAAUUGGACACACACACACUGGACACAAAAUGCACACACACUCACAGACAUUCUGGACACACACACACACACACUGGACACAAACUGGACACACACAUAAACAUACACUCAACACACACACACACUGAACACACACACAAACACUGGGCACAUACUCACACACACACACACACACACACACUCUGGACAUACACACACACACUUGACACAGACACUGGACACACACACACAUUUUGGACACACACACUCACACACACACACACAGGACACACACACACACUGGACACACACACUGGACACACACACAUACACACACACACACACUGAACACACACACACUGAACACACACACACACUGAACACACACACACACACUGAACACACACACACACUGGGCACAUACUCACACACACUGGACACACACACACUCUGGACACACACACACACACUUGACACAGACACUGGACACACACACGCACUGGACAGGUCCCCCUCUCCAUGUAAUCUGAUUCAUUAUGAUAUAGGAUCAGGUCCCCCCUCUCCAUGUAAUCUGAUUCAUUAUGAUCUAGGAUCAGGUCCCCCCUCUCCAUGUAAUCUGAUUCAUUAUGAUCUAGGAUCAGGUCCCCCCUCUCCAUGUAAUCUGAUUCAUUAUGAUCUAGGAUCAGGUCCCCCCUCUCCAUUUAAUCUGAUUCAUUAUGAUCUAGGAUCAGGUCCCCCCUCUCCAUGUAAUCUGAUACACGUACAUACAUACAUACACACUGUAUAUAUACACGUACAUACAUACAUACACACUGUAUAUAUACACGUACAUACAUACAUACACACUGUAUAUAUAUACACGUACAUACACACUGUAUAUAUAUACACGUACAUACAUACAUACACACUGUAUAUAUAUACACGUACAUACAUACAUACACACUGUAUAUAUAUACACGUACAUACAUACAUACACACUGUAUAUAUAUACACAUACAUACAUACACACUGUAUAUAUAUACACAUACAUACAUACACACUGUAUAUAUAUACACAUACAUACAUACAUACACACUGUAUAUAUAUAUACACGUACAUACAUACAUACACACUGUAUAUAUAUACAUACACGUACAUACAUACAUACACACUGUAUAUAUAUACAUACACGUACAUACAUACAUACACGUACAUACAUACAUACACACUGUAUAUAUAUACAUACACGUACAUACAUACAUACACACUGUAUAUAUAUACAUACACGUACAUACAUACAUACAUACACACUGUAUAUAUAUACAUACGUGUACAUACAUACAUACAUACACACUGUAUAUAUAUACAUACAUACAUACACACUGUAUAUAUAUACAGAAAUCCACUGUUUAUUUGAGGUAAAAAGGGAUGACCAGAGAGUACCCAUGAAGUUGUACAACAUUUGACAAGACAGUCAAGACCUAAGCAGUGUGCCAGAUGACCUUUGGCCUCCAAUAUAGGCCCCUUUCUGUGUUUGCUAAAAUUGCAGCGAUGCACACGCAAUUUGGUUGUAGAAACUCCUCCAUUCUAAUGAGGAAACCACUAGUUAUGGAUGUAGUAUAUCUGCUAAUGAGGAAACCACUAGUUAUGGAUGUAGUAUAUCUGCUAAUGAGGAAACCACUAGUUAUGGAUGUAGUAUAUCUGCUAAUGAGGAAACCACUAGUUAUGGAUGUAGUAUAUUUGGUAAUGAGGAAACCACUAGUUAUGGAUGUAGUAUAUCUGGUAAUGAAGAAACCACUAGUUAUGGAUGUAGUAUAUCUGGUAAUGAGAAAACCACUAGUUAUGGAUGUAGUAUAUCUGGUCAUGAGGAAACCACUAGUUAUGGAUGUAGUAUAUCUGGUAAUGAGGAAACCACUAGUUAUGGAUGUAGGAUAUCUGGUAAUGAGGAAACCACUAGUUAUGGAUGUAGGAUAUCUGGUAAUGAGGAAACCACUAGUUAUGGAUGUAGUAUAUCUGCCUGGAGCAAAAAUGGUGAGCGAAGAUGAUCGUUUUUCACAAUGUAUUCUGAAUAUUACAGCGCACUAUCAGGACAAGAUCAGGAGUGCUACUCAAGUAAACUCACAUUAAGUUCUGUCUAUUCACUAAUUCAGCACUGUGGGGGAAAACUCAGGAGAGUUCUCAUAGGCUGACAGCAAAAAUAGCCUCCAUUUACAGGUUGCAUAUGAGUGCAUUUAACAUUACUUUUGGAUUAUAAUUGUAAAGCUCGUUUGAACCUCCUGCUUAAUAUGUUUGCGUUAUUGUCGCAAAUCAACUGCUUUACACUUAAAAAACACUUCAACCAGUAAAAUGCUCUUUGGCUAGCUUUAACAUCAGCCUGACAAUGAGGGUUUGUACACUAAGUGUUUAACAAAUUGGCCCAUAACUUCACCUAACAAUAACAUAGACCUACUGUAGGACCCAUAACUUUAUCUAACAACGACAUAGACGUAGGACUAUAAAUCAUUUAAUAUUUCAGGUGAAACAUGGACACUAAAAUGUCUGUCGUGACGUUUCAUAACCUGAUCACCAGAUAAUUUUGUGAAUAAUCCCACUAGGCUACUCUGUAAUGUGUUGUCAUUCUAAAUGUCCUGAAUAAAGGAAAAUAGCUCUGUGUGUUGAACAAUAGCCUAUCCAUCAAGGAACAGUUCUCUACACAUUAUGAGCAAAGUAGGGAUGUUGGAUCCAACGUGGAGUGUAUCUCUGUGCACAAACAGAGUAAUGAGACCCUACUGUAAAUCAGCCAGACAGUAACACAUUAUAAACAUCGAUUUGUUUGGGAUGUUGGAUCCAACGUGGAGCACGGCAUAACUGUCUUUACCAGAGUAAUGAAUGAAGAAGCACUUUGGUUGUUGUUGCAUGUCGUGAUGUUUGUCAUGUGACUGUCAUUCAGAAAAUGAUUUCGUGGAUCAGCUGAUGAUAGUUGAACAUGUGACUGUAAAUAAACAGCUACAGUAUUAAGAAUUAUGUGUAAUUAUUGAAGAACCACGUUAAUGACAGUAUCCAUUUGGGUG